CAGAUAAGGGACUACCCACUUCAGACCUUGGACAGCCACAUCGUGCUCCGUUUCUAGAAAUUUAUCUUCUUCAAACCCAUGGGAUCCUCCCCGGCGAACUGCCGCUCCUCUCGUCCAACUUGCCUGGCUGAGAGGUUCUUGAUGGUGUGGAUGUGGGAAAAAGCUCAUAUGUGAAAGACAAUGAAGUUUUGCAAACUACUGCUGACUUUCCUAAUAGGUAAUGGGAUACAUCCGUCUCCCAUUAUGGCAACCCUGGACUACA